rnacentral:rRNA from 1 species
AUUGACUAAGGUUUCCAGAGGAAGGCUCGUCCGCUCUGGGUUAGUCGGGUCCUAAGCUGAGGCCGACAGGCGUAGGCGAUGGAUAACAGGUUGAUAUUCCUGUACCACCUAUAAUCGUUUUAAUCGAUGGGGGGACGCAGUAGGAUAGGCGAAGCGUGCGAUUGGAUUGCACGUCUAAGCAGUAAGGCUGAGUAUUAGGCAAAUCCGGUACUCGUUAAGGCUGAGCUGUGAUGGGGAGAAGACAUUGUGUCUUCGAGUCGUUGAUUUCACACUGCCGAGAAAAGCCUCUAGAUAGAAAAUAGGUGCCCGUACCGCAAACCGACACAGGUAGUCAAGAUGAGAAUUCUAAGGUGAGCGAGCGAACUCUCGUUAAGGAACUCGGCAAAAUGACCCCGUAACUUCGGGAGA